rnacentral:rRNA from 1 species
UAGCUAACGGCGAGUGAAGAGGGAAGAGCCCAAGAUUGAAAGCUGGCGUCUUCGGCGUCCGCAUUGUAAUCUCAAGAAGUGUUUUCCGCUUCGGACCAAGCCUAAGUCCCCUGGAAAGGGGCAUCAUAGAGGGUGAUAAUCCCGUACAUGGCUUGGAGCGCCCGAGGCUUUGUGAUACGCUUUCUAAGAGUCGAGUUGUUUGGGAAUGCAGCUCAAAAUGGGUGGUAAAUGCCAUCUAAGGCUAAAUAUUGGGGAGAGACCGAUAGCGAACAAGUACAGUGAUGGAAAGAUGAAAAGAACUUUGAAAAGAGAGUUAAACAGUACGUGAAAUUGCCAAAAGGGAAGGGUAGGAGGUCAGAGAUGCGGCCUGGGAUUCAGCCUUGCUUUUGCUUGGUGUUUUUCCCAGAUUGCAGGCCAACGUCGGUUUUGGGCACUGGAGAAGGGUAGGAGGAACGUGGCACCCCUCGGGGUGUGUUAUAGCCUCCUACUGGAUACAGCGACCGAGACCGAGGACAGCAGCGUACUCGCAAGAGCGGGCCUUCGGGCACCUUUACGCUUAGGGCGUUGGCAUAAUGGCCCUCUACCACCCGUCUUGAA